rnacentral:tRNA from 1 species
GAGGGUAUAGCUCAGUGGUCAAGGGCAUGCUUAGCAUGCCCAAGGUCCUGGUUUCAAUCCCCAGUAUCUCCA